UCCUCUUCCACUGCUGCUGCUCUCCUCUGUAUUCUCUUCUUAGUCGCCAAUUCGCCCAUCGCACGUGGAGUUGGUAUUUGCGACUUCGUCUUACCUCUUACGCCUUGCCUCAGCCCCUACACUACUCUCACCGGUGCACCCACUGCAUCGUGUUGCGUUGGGGCUACAGCAGUCCAGAAUGAGCUGAUGGUACCAGGGGGG
rnacentral:misc_RNA from 1 species